GCCGCGUGUGUGAAGAAGGCCUUCGGGUUGUAAAGCACUUUCAGUAAGGAGGAAAGGUUGGAUGUUAAUAGCAUUCAGCUGUGACGUUACUUACAGAAGAAGCACCGGCUAACUCCGUGCCAGCAGCCGCGGUAAUACGGAGGGUGCGAGCGUUAAUCGGAAUUACUGGGCGUAAAGCGUACGCAGGCGGUUUGUUAAGCGAGAUGUGAAAGCCCCGGGCUCAACCUGGGAACUGCAUUUCGAACUGGCAAACUAGAGUGUGAUAGAGGGUGGUAGAAUUUCAGGUGUAGCGGUGAAAUGCGUAGAGAUCUGAAGGAAUACCGAUGGCGAAGGCAGCCACCUGGGUCAACACUGACGCUCAUGUACGAAAGCGUGGGGAGCAAACAGGAUUAGAUACCCUGGUAGUCCACGCCGUAAACGAUGUCUACUAGAAGCUCGGUUCCUCGGAACUGUUUUUCAAAGCUAACGCAUUAAGUAGACCGCCUGGGGAGUACGGCCGCAAGGUUAAAACUCAAAUGAAUUGACGGGGGCCCGCACAAGCGGUGGAGCAUGUGGUUUAAUUCGAUGCAACGCGAAGAACCUUACCUACACUUGACAUACAGAGAACUUACCAGAGAUGGUUUGGUGCCUUCGGGAACUCUGAUACAGGUGCUGCAUGGCUGUCGUCAGCUCGUGUUGUGAGAUGUUGGGUUAAGUCCCGCAACGAGCGCAACCC
rnacentral:rRNA from 1 species